UUUCCAUUCAGCUGCAAGUAGUUUCAGAUCAUAACCGACGGAUUAGUGACUUCGCCGGCUAUCCGGGCUCUGUGCAUGACGGGAGUGUGUUCAGGACGCCCACACUCUACCAAACGCUCGAAGAAAAGUGUGGAGAUUUUCAUCUUUUGACAGUGCCUAUCCCUUCACAAGAAAUUUAUUAACACCGUUCAGAAAUACAGGGCAUUUCUCCAGUGCAAUGUGACUUCGAUAUGGCACUCUCGAAAAACAGGUGUGUUGUAGAACAUUGCUUUGGCCUGUUGAAGCAGCGUUUUAGACAAUUAGACCAGCUGAAAUUGAGGAGUUUUAAAGAGAUGGCGCACUUCAUCCGACGUGCUGUGUGCUCCACAAUCUCGCCGUGGAAGAUAACUUGGAGUUAGAUGACAAAGGUGAAGAAGAUGAUGCACCAGCUGAAGAACCAACAUUGAUGACAGAAGUGGCAUUGCAAAGAGGAACAUGAUUGGAGCGCAGUUGCAAAUGUGCAAGCAACACCAGAUGCCCCAUCACCAACAUUUGGCAACAAAUAUCGUAUCAUUGAUGUGGAUGUUAGGGUGUGCUGUCACGAACUACACACCAGAGCUGAAGGUGAAGGAAGCCAACUGCAGGCUAUGGAGGAAGAAUAGAGGCCUGUCCCAGAAUAAUCAACAGCUAAGACAUGUAAAGGGAAGUAAAAGUUUUAGACACAUCAAAGGA